AUUGAACGCUGGCGGCAUGCCUUACACAUGCAAGUCGAACGGUAACGGGCCUUCGGGUGCCGACGAGUGGCGAACGGGUGAGUAAUACAUCGGAACGUGCCCGAUCGUGGGGGCUAAAGAGGCGAAAGCUUUGCUAAUACCGCAUACGAUCUACGGAUGAAAGCAGGGGACCGCAAGGCCUUGCGCGGACGGAGCGGCCGAUGGCAGAUUAGGUAGUUGGUGGGAUAAAAGCUUACCAAGCCGACGAUCUGUAGCUGGUCUGAGAGGAUGAUCAGCCACACUGGGACUGAGACACGGCCCAGACUCCUACGGGAGGCAGCAGUGGGGAAUUUUGGACAAUGGGCGCAAGCCUGAUCCAGCCAUGCCGCGUGCAGGAUGAAGGCCUUCGGGUUGUAAACUGCUUUUGUACGGAACGAAAAGCCUUCUUUUAAUACAGGAGGGUCAUGACGGUACCGUAAGAAUAAGCACCGGCUAACUACGUG
rnacentral:rRNA from 1 species